UAGUGUUUGUCUGUCACCUUGUCUCAGCACUAAGGGCUUUACCCCAUUAAACAUGGAACAUCUUUCUUUUGCCUUAUGAUGUUAUGAUUGAUGCAGGCUACAAGAACAGAACACUGUGGGUGGCGCAGGCAACUCUGAGCAGUACCAUGGGACCAGUGCGCAGGGCCUUCUCCUCACAAUGAUCAACGAGGAUUCAUUUACGUCGCCCACAGACAAAACAAGCCAUGUAACAAAUCAAAGAGAGCUCUGGCCAAACCU